GGGGAUUGAUUAUACCAAAACUGAACUUCAUUGAUUUAAAUUGCCUUAUAUACACUGUAUGUAUGAAUUUAUUUUGUUUAAUAAUGCAAUAAUUACUAUAUACUGUAAACUGUACUUCGGAUUUUCAUCAUGAUUACACAUGUGAUUGUUGGUACCAAUGUUUUAAACCGUCUUCACUUGUCAAAACGUCUAGAAGAACACAUGCAAUUGGGAAGAACAAACAUAUGUCUUUUAACGUGUGUUAUGGUGCGUUAUUUAUGCGUCAAAUAUAUUUUCCAAUUAGGUAUAUUUUCAACCUUUAGGCUUCGGGUUCAAAUUAUAUUAACGCUACCGUAACACAAAUAGCAUGAAACCUUA
rnacentral:lncRNA from 1 species